UUGUGGGGAUGGAGAAUACAUUAUAUAUACAGCUUUGGCCUGGAGAAAUAGAUCCUUUGGUUCAGCAUUGGAAUUUGUUUGGUCAUCAGAUGAAGAAUAUGCAGUUAGGGAAAGUAUAUCAAGGAUUAAGAUUUUUGAGAACACAUAUAACAAUGGUGAAGGUUGUUGCUGUUCUUAAUAGCAAGGAGGGAGUUAGUGGCACUGUGUACUUCACUUAGGAAGGACAUGGCCCAACUACAGUGAUCGGAAGCCUCUAUGGUCUUAAACCUGGGCCCCAUGGCUUCCAUGUCCAUGCUCUUGGUGACACAACAAAUGGCUGUUUGUCCAUACUCUUUUACAUUUAGUCUCUAUAUUAUUAUUUUUUUCUUUUUGUUGAUUGUCCUAUUGAUGAUCAAUUACAAGUAAUAUAUAGCCAAUGGUCCUGUGUGCAAUGGGAAGAAGUUUGAUGUUAUUUUUUAAUGGAGAAGAGCAGUAAUAUUGGUCUUCAUUUUUUUAAUUGGUAAAAGUUACAUGCAUUUUGAGGUUUUAGGAGUUUAAACUGACACCCUUUUGUUUUCUUUUGUAUUGAUUUUUGGGGAUGGAUUUGCCAUUACAGCUGGAGGUAACCAAAAUUUACAUAUUCUUCUUUUUUGGUUAUACACAGGUUUGGGUAUAUGCUUUAGGUUAUAUAUAUAUAUAUAUAUAUAUAUAUAUAUAUAUAUAUAUAUAUAUAUAUAUAUAUAUAUAAUUCUUUAAGUGGAACUUUUGAUAGGGUGAUACUAAAGGACCUGCCAAGGCUGGCGACGGAUUUGGCAAAAAGGAUGUGGUUGCAGUGCAGCCUGGCCCUAGUAACCAAAUUGCUCAUCAGGGUUCUUUUACUCAAGGAAUGAGCUAUAUGCAUUCUCAGGUAAAGAUUUCUUCUCAAUAUCAGUUGCAUACUGAAAAUAUAAAUCUUGAAAUUUGAUAUUGUAUAUACUGUUCAGUGGCAUUUUUUUAUGGAUGCAAAAAUUUUUUCUUCAAAGGGCAUAAAGACUUCAUUUUGUAGGAAGCUAAAUCCUUGGAGAAAGAUUCUAUUUGUCACAUUUGGGCAUGGGAAAUGUGAUGUUGUUGAAUCCAUAAAAUUUGUUUGGAUACUGGGAAAGAAUUGAAAGGAAUUCUAUGGUGCAGGUACCUAUUUAUAAAAAAAAUUCAAAGAAGUGACAGUUGGGAAGGAAUCCAUUUGCUUGGAAUUUCCAAUUGAACUUGUGGCUAGGAAAAAAAAAACAA